rnacentral:misc_RNA from 1 species
AAGGCGUGCCUGCUAGGGCCC